rnacentral:rRNA from 1 species
UGGGGAAUAUUGCGCAAUGGGGGAAACCCUGACGCAGCAACGCCGCGUGAGUGAUGAAGGUUUUCGGAUCGUAAAACUCUGUCAUUAGGGACGAUAAUGACGGUACCUAAUGAGGAAGCCACGGCUAACUACGUGCCAGCAGCCGCGGUAAUACGUAGGUGGCAAGCGUUGUCCGGAUUUACUGGGCGUAAAGAGUAUGUAGGUGGGCAUUUAAGUCAGAUGUGAAAUUCCCGGGCUUAACCUGGGAGCUGCAUUUGAUACUGGGUGUCUAGAGUGCAGGAGAGGAAAGUGGAAUUCCUAGUGUAGCGGUGAAAUGCGUAGAGAUUAGGAAGAACACCAGUGGCGAAGGCGACUUUCUGGACUGUAACUGACACUGAGAUACGAAAGCGUGGGUAGCAAACAGGAUUAGAUACCCUGGUA